GCCAAAAUAGAAAUUGCUAUGUCCCCGGCAAUUCCCAAGAAUUUAACAGUGUGGUCAUGAUUUUCAGGCAAGAGCCAAAAAGCAUCUGAAAUGGCACAGUACAUCAUACUGCCAUUACUCUGGUUGAUUUUGACAAUAUAGUGUUUCAAAUAGAACAUACUUGAAAAAAAAAAAAAAAGCAAAACAACAACAACAACAACAACAAAUCCUAAUAGGCUAUUUUCCUUGAAUCCUUAUGUCACUCACAUAAAUCUUAACCGCUCCUAAUUUUAAUGGCUUUAUUCCUUUUAGUCUUAAUGUUAUUUGAUUUCUCCGAAAAUAUUUUUCCUUGUAGAUGACUGCGUCAUAUCCGGGUGAUAGCAAUAUUCAGAAGAAUAGCCUUUCUUCAGAUUCUCAUUUCUUGGAAGUAAACCUGUCAGGAGACAAGAGCGUGGGCUCCAAAUGCACUGUCCGCUUUACAGCUUUCAAAGGACUCUGAGUGUCCUGUCAUUAUAACCUGCAGAGGGAGAGAGUCAUUCGUGUAGGUCUUUCUGCAGCUUGAAUCCCAGCCUCCACAAAACAGAAUGUGCUAAGUAAGGCAGCAGCAUUUAGGAGCCUAAUGAAUGUGCAUACGCAAGUAUGAAGACACACUUGUAAGCUGGCACUGGUAAGGAAGAGUACAUUAUUCGAUGUAUCCUCUUUGAAAAAAAAAAUCAAUAAAAUUCAUAUACAGUAUGCUCAUUGUAAAACGACAUGUGCUGCAUUUAAUACUCACUGA